rnacentral:rRNA from 1 species
UGACACUGAACACUGGUCCUUGAUGUGUAGGAUAGGUGGGAGGCUUUGAAGCGUGGACGCCAGUCUGCGUGGAGCCGCCCUUGAAAUACCACCCUUUAAUGGCUGGUGUUCUAACGUAGACCCGUAAUCCGGGUUGCGGACAGUGUCUGGUGGGUAGUUUGACUGGGGCGGUCUCCUCCCAAAGAGUAACGGAGGAGCACGAAGGUUAGCUAAUCCUGGUCGGACAUCAGGAGGUUAGUGCAAUGGCAUAAGCUAGCUUGACUGCGAGAGUGACGGCUCGAGCAGGUGCGAAAGCAGGUCAUAGUGAUCCGGUGGUUCUGAAUGGAAGGGCCAUCGCUCAACGGAUAAAAGGUACUCCGGGGAUAACAGGCUGAUACCGCCCAAGAGUUCAUAUCGACGGCGGUGUUUGGCACCUCGAUGUCGGCUCAUCACAUCCUGGGGCUGAAGUAGGUCCCAAGGGUAUGGCUGUUCGCCAUUUAAAGUGGUACGCGAGCUGGGUUUAGAACGUCGUGAGACAGUUCGGUCCCUAUCUGCCGUGGGCGCUGGAGAAUUGAGGGGGGCUGCUCCUAGUACGAGAGGACCGGAGUGGACGCAUCACUGGUGUUCGGGUUGUCAUGCCAAUGGCAUUGCCCGGUAGCUAAAUGCGGAAGAGAUAAGUGCUGAAAGCAUCUAAGCACGAAACUUGCCCCGAGAUGAGUUCUCCCUGACUCCUUGAGAGUCCUGAAGGAACGUUGAAGACUACGACGUUGAUAGGUCGGGUGUGUAAGCGCAGCGAUGCGUUGAGCUAACCGAUACUAAUGAACCGUGAGGCUUAACCUU